CUACGUGCCAGCAGCCGCGGUAAUACGGAGGGUGCGAGCGUUAAUCGGAAUAACUGGGCGUAAAGGGCACGCAGGCGGUGACUUAAGUGAGGUGUGAAAGCCCCGGGCUUAACCUGGGAAUUGCAUUUCAUACUGGGUCGCUAGAGUACUUUAGGGAGGGGUAGAAUUCCACGUGUAGCGGUGAAAUGCGUAGAGAUGUGGAGGAAUACCGAAGGCGAAGGCAGCCCCUUGGGAAUGUACUGACGCUCAGGUGCGAAAGCGUGGGGAGCAAACAGGAUUAGAUACCCUGGUAGUCCACGCUGUAAACGAUGUCGACUUGGAGGUUGUUCCCUUGAGGAGUGGCUUCCGGAGCUAACGCGUUAAGUCGACCGCCUGGGGAGUACGGCCGCAAGGUUAAAACUCAAAUGAAUUGACGGGGGCCCGCMCAAGCGGUGGAGCAUGUGGUUUAAUUCGAUGCAACGCGAAGAACCUUACCUACUCUU
rnacentral:rRNA from 1 species